rnacentral:rRNA from 1 species
AGUGAACGCUGGCGGUAGGCCUAACACAUGCAAGUCGAACGGCAGCACAGUAAGAGCUUGCUCUUACGGGUGGCGAGUGGCGGACGGGUGAGGAAUACAUCGGAAUCUACUUUUUCGUGGGGGAUAACGUAGGGAAACUUACGCUAAUACCGCAUACGACCUACGGGUGAAAGCAGGGGAUCUUCGGACCUUGCGCGAUUGAAUGAGCCGAUGUCGGAUUAGCUAGUUGGCGGGGUAAAGGCCCACCAAGGCGACGAUCCGUAGCUGGUCUGAGAGGAUGGUCAGCCACACUGGAACUGAGACACGGUCCAGACUCCUACGGGGGGCAGCAGUGGGGAAUAUUGGACAAUGGGCGCAAGCCUGAUCCAGCCAUACCACGUGGGUGAAGAAGGCCUUCGGGUUGUAAAGCCCUUUUGUUGGGAAAGAAAAGCAGCAGGUUAAUACCCCGCUGUUCUGACGGUACCCAAAGAAUAAGCACCGGCUAACUUCGUG